ACAUUGCAUCUUCCUAUGAGAGACAAGAAAAGAAAAAAGACAAAGAUGCUAAGAACAAAAGAUGUGUGCCAGAUGUUCUCUUCUCCAUACCUGGACUCUGACACUCUCUCUGAGCUGCCUCCACUCCCCAUGUGGACACCCUCCUUCCUCUACUGCCCUCCUACCUCCACUCAGACUACAUAUCCUAUGCUAUAUUGCACAGGGAUUGAGAUUAAGCAACCUGCCUGGCAAGGAGGGGUGUACAGGGGGACUAGGGAUCCUAGAGUGGUCUGGGAACUGUUGAUUCCAGUCCCCAGCAUGUGCAUGCUAUCUUCAUCCUUCUCUGGCACCAGCACAGUGUGCAGAGCCAUGUCCCCCAACUCUCGGGUUCUGAUGCCAUCACUGUAACACCCUCCUAAAAAGACACCCUUUCUACCUGCCUUGAGCUCUGACUCCUCAUGCUGUGCCACAGUGGCCCUCCUCCCACCACAGACACCUACUACCUAAUGUUUUUUGGACUGGAUUAUUUAGGAUGGAAAAAGAAGAAAAAGAAAAGAAAGGGAAGAAAAGAGAAAAAAAAUUAAAGUGGGGAAAAGGGUAAAAAAGAAACUAAUGAGGAAGAAAAAGAGAAAACAUAAGAUUUGGGGAAAGAUAAUAAAGUCAUAAAUUUAUUGAGGAUCA
rnacentral:lncRNA from 1 species